rnacentral:rRNA from 1 species
AGAAUCAACACUGGCGGCGUGCCUCAGACAUGCAAGUCGAACGCGAAAGCUCUCUUCGGAGAGCAAGUAGAGUGGCGCACGGGUGAGUAACACGUGGGUAAUUUACCUUUGGGUGGGGAAUAACAGCCGGAAACGGCUGCUAAUACCGCAUAAUGCAGCGGCAUCUUAAUGAUGACAGUUGUUAAAGCGAGGGAUCGCAAGACCUCGCGCCAGAAGAGAAGCCCGCGGCAGAUUAGCUAGUUGGUGAGGUAAUGGCUCACCAAGGCGACGAUCUGUA